rnacentral:lncRNA from 1 species
GAUAAUUUGUAUAUUUUGUAUUGCGGAAAUGAACAAAGUUCACAAUAAAUCCUCUUUUAUGCAGUCAAUUUUGGUUUUUCAAGUGUGCAACUUGUUGUAAAUGAUGCCAGAUCGUUGGAGCUUCAUAUUGUGAAUAACGGGUAGGCAGAAUUUAAUUUUUUUUUUCGAAAAUAUCAAUAUUUGUCGACCCGUAUGAAGGGCGCCCAUAGGACAAACCUUAUGGACAAACCAUCAUUGUUGACGUAUAUAUAAAUAUAGUUCCACCAAUUCCAAAUAAAACAUUUUGAGCCAUCGCCAUUGCUUCAUGGCAAAAUUGUGAAUGUAUUUGCAUAUUCUUUUGUAAAAGACAGCGACACUGAAAAACAUAUUUUAGUCACAGUUUAUCAAUGGCAAAAAUAGACUUUAAUUAUAAAAUCGUAAAUAGUCAAUAUAUAAAACAUUGAUACCAAAAAUGGUUCUUACUCCUUACUAUUUGUAUAUUUAUUACAUACAUACAACAUAUCAUAUAUUAUUUUAUAGUUCCAUGGAAUCAUAUCAAGAUUAAAAUGUGUUAGAAGCUAGAGAAGAAUAAUUGCAACUUAGUAUAUUCGCAGGCAAUAUAACAUAAUUGAUAUUGCUUUAGGUGAAUGUAGUUGAUAAUCAAACUUUCUAAAACCUUCAAUUGUAUGAAUGCUUCAAACUAUCUUUAAUAUUUGAUGUUAGGAAAUAUUUCUUUCUGUUGAGUCCUAGACCUUUUGUUUUUAAUUCAAGCAAUCAAACUGCUAAAUUACUGCAAUUAUUAACAGCAUAGGUCAUUGAUAAUCAGCUGAAUUUUAGAACUGCUUUGGGAAACCCUAUUUUGUAAUGAGACACAUUACUUCUUGCAUUAUUGUAUAUUGUAUAUUGUAUAUUGUAAGGUCAAUGGGAUAAACUGCUUGAUGCACAGUAGAUUUUAUAAUCUUAAAUAUAGUUGCAC